rnacentral:rRNA from 1 species
UACGGGGGGAGCAAGCGUUGUUCGGAUUUACUGGGCGUAAAGGGCGCGUAGGCGGCGCAACAAGUCACUUGUGAAAUCUCCGGGCUUAACCCGGAGCGGUCAAGUGAUACUGUCGUGCUAGAGUGCGGAAGGGGCAAUCGGAAUUCUCGGUGUAGCGGUGAAAUGCGUAGAUAUCGAGAGGAACACCUGCGGCGAAGGCGGGUUGCUGGGCUGACACGUGACGCUGAAGCGCGAAAGCUAGGGGAGCGAACGGG